AUUCAUCUCAGCCUUCAUGGCAGUACUUGUCAUCAGUGUGGUGGGUUUUCGUGUCCCAAGGCGUGCUGAGUGGGUUCCCCACGUGCAUUCAAUAUUUGACCAGACCAUGGACCUGGUUGGCCAGAUAGUUGGAAAAGAGAACCUUCAAACUGCUGUAGAGUAGGUUUAUCACCAAGCAUUUCUUCAUUGUCCUCCGUGUUUCUGUAAGAGCAUAGUUUAAUGUCCUCUGUGUUUCUUUAAGAGCAUAGUUUAAUGUUGGAGCUGAAAGUACCAUUUCCAUUGGUAAUACAAUAAGGGAAUCAUACUGUGAUUUUUAAUUUUUAAUAUAAUUCAGGCCAAUGAUGUAAGCUCAAGUAGAGAUGUUCUUUUGACCUAUUUGUCUUAUUUUGUCUCCCAGUACAAAAACUGAAACAACAGUCCGUCUGGCCGACGCAACAGCUAAUCUUGCAGAGAAAAUUUUCAAAGCUCUCUUUACAAACUGUACGUGAUAUUGUAUAAUUCAUAAGUUAAGCAGGUAAUUAUUUUGUUCUUUUUUAAACGCCAUGGAAAACCCACAUGCAAAAGAGAAAUGAAUGAAUGGAUGAAUGAAUGAAUAAAUUAAUGUUGCAUUUGAUCAUAUAUGUGUGUUACAUUAAAUUAAAAUAUUUUUUGCCUAAAUGUCAUUUUAGAACGGCAUACUGUAUGUGACCUCACCAUCUGCGUGGAAUGAACACAUUGCUCAUUAGUCUUUUACGAAGUCCAACCAUUGUGAGGAGGCUAAACUGACCAAGAAUAAAAGGAGUUUUUUUCCCUCUUUACUACGUGUACUAAAAAUGAUCUGAUGGACUGCAUGGUGGCCAUUUUAGUUUGACUCUUGAAAUGUACCAUCCCACAUUCAAUCCCACAAGACAUUUGAAAUGUAUGAGUAUGAAGAAUUACACUGCCAUAGCUAAUUAAGUUAGACCAUGUACAGAAGAUGAUGUGGUACUGAGGUUAAGAAUCAAACCUUUAAAUACUGUGAAAUAUCAAUAAUAAUAAAUAUACUUAUAUAUUUUGUGAAUAUGCUAAAUCAGUUAUAUAUGGCAGUGUGUUUGGUAAAAUAUGAUAGAAAAUGUAUUAUCAAUAGAAAGUUAUCUGUGAUAUCUUCAGGUUACUGUGGAUGUACCUCUCAAAUUGAAAACCAAUUCAUGCAUUUAUCUGAUUCGUUGGUUCUUGAUAGAGUGGUAACAGUCAUGGAACACAGUUAUAACUGGCAGCAAAGAAGACAUUCCAUCAAAAUAGGCCUUUUACAGUUGGCUGGGAUUUGAGUGCACUUUACAUUGUUUGGUCUGAUCUAGUGCCAUACACCUAGUUUGCGGUUCACAGGGGAACAAGUUCAACAGCUUUGAUUGGAUGCCGUAAUCAGGUGAAUGACUUCACUGUAGCUUUCAAUAUUUGCAGUGUUGACCAACACCACACAUAGACACACAUUCAUGUACAAACAGACUAAGGGGAAAAUCUGACAUUCAGACAGGAUCUGUGGAAGACUGCUGGUUGUCAUCUCUGUAGCCAUGAAGAACGUUUUGGCUGUUGUUAUCAUCGCAGCUUUCGCACUGUGCGUCGAGAAUCUCCCCAUCUCAUCUGACUCCUCAGAGGAGGCAGUGGACCCUCUGGGAGCCGCCAUUAGCAGGCCUUUCUACGACCUCUGGGACCGCACUUUAGACAAGACGGCAGAAUCUCUGAGUAAAAAACUGCAGCAAUCUCUGGGAAUGAUGUUCAACAACCUGAGCUCCGCUUUUCUAUCUGUUAUUUUGGAACCAGUUCCCACUUCACCACCUCUCCUGUGAGGAUGCAAAACUGCAGAACUUGUUUGUUUUCCACAUGGACUUAAAAUAAAACCUGAUUCUGAAUGCGACUUUUGUUUCAUUUUUACAAAACAUUACUGGGCCAUUUGUUAACAUGUUAGUGUAUACUGAUAAAAUAAACCUCCCAGGUUAUUCCCCUGCAAUUGCCCCCUAAUCGCCAGUGUUUUUUUUAUUACGAUUUGAAAGACUGGUUCCCUUUCCCUUUGCCCCUUUCCACAAAACAUUGGGAGGCUAUUUUCAUGUCUAUGAUGCAAUAUCUAAGCACUGCUGAUAGUGUCACGAUUCGGGCCAGCGAUUGCCACGAAUUGGGACAUUGGCGGCCUCUGGUGGCCAAAGGACAAUAUAUGGCUGACUUAUUAUUAUGCACAUGUGCCUUUGUUUUCUUUGUGUGCCCUCACCUGGGGUACGUUCGUCGUAGGAUUGAAGCUAAGUUAAUCAAUUGGCCUUUUAGCCCGUUAAGAUUAGCGAGCUGAUUGAGAACAGCAAAUAUCGGUUCGUUAACGGCUGAUCCGCAUCCUAAUCAUGUGGUUAAUUUCAACCAGGCUAAAGUUAUCAUGGCAUUUGCGCGUGCACGUCCUACUUCAAAAGGCAGGAAAGGUCGAUCACCAAAACCAUGAUUUUCUAACGGUAUAAUGGUUCUAAACUCAAAGAAAAGGGCUCUUUUUCUCCGCUGGCGAGUAGGAGAUGAACAUGAACGCUUAUGAAGAAUACAAGACCAUAAUCAUGGCAAAAUUCAACACCACCACCGCUGUGAGAGCAAGGUGUGUUGGGAUGUUUAUAGAG
ensembl:lncRNA